rnacentral:rRNA from 1 species
GUAGUCCACGCCCUAAACGAUGCAUAUUUGGUGUGGGCAGUUCAUUCUGUCCGUGCCGGAGCUAACGCGUUAAAUAUGCCGCCUGGGGAGUACAGUCGCAAGGCUGAAACUCAAAGGAAUUGACGGGGGCCCGCACAAGCGGUGGAGCAUGUGGUUCAAUUCGACGCAACGCGAAGAACCUUACCUGGGCUCGAACGGCUGAUCAACGGCGGUGGAAACAUCGCUACCCCGCAAGGGGGUUCAGUCGAGGUGCUGCAUGGCUGUCGUCAGCUCGUGUCGUGAGAUGUUGGGUUAAGUCCCGCAACGAGCGCAACCCUUGUCCUGUGUUGCCAUACCGCAAGGUGGAACUCGCAGGAGACCGCCAGGGAUAACCUGGA